rnacentral:lncRNA from 1 species
UCACGAUGGACAAAAAUACACAAAAAGAAAGAAGAAAAGAGGAAGAAAGCUGCUGCCGAAUUUCUGCAGAAAUUGUGAUGCCCCUUGCUAGUUUGUGGCUAUCCCUCUUUAUAGGUGAAGAAUCCUAAUCCAAUUAGGAUUUAGAAUCCUAAUUUGACUUGGUCUUUUGGAGUCUUUUAUUCCUUCUUUGCCUUUGUAUUUAAUCAUGAAUAAAUC